AUGACCUUGGCCGCGGGAAAUGCCCUUUGUGAUGUCAGAGUUAAUUAUUUCUGGGGGAAAUGUCAGUCGGGCCCUAACGAGUUGGGGACGUGCAGGCAGAGCUCCUCCCUGCCACACGGCACCCUGGGGGCAAUGCUGAGCAUGGGGGGCGGGGGGGCACCUUCCCGGCCUCAGUCCUGGCCCCUCUGCAGGCCAUUUCGGGGUCUGAAGCUCCCCCUCCGGCCCUGGUGUUACAGCAGAUGGAAACCCCGACCUGCCAGGACCCUGGGGACCGCAGAGCGAGGGCUGACCUCCGACUCCGAGGAUCUUAACGCGCGGACCACACGCAUCAGAAGUGCAUGCAGCAGCUCAGCGUUUCCGUAACAGAACCCACCCGGGGGGCUGGUGGUGUUUCCCUCCACACAUCCUGAGGAACAUGAAAACACGUUCUUAAAGACGUUUGUGGAUUUCAUUGGAAGUUUCCUUUAAAGUAACGGCCGCCCUUAAGUGCACCAACACCCUGAGCCAGAAGCUCCGCGGGGCGAUGACGCAGUAACUCAACCAGACCGAACCUCAUCUGUGGUCGGCAUUUUAUUUUAUAGAUGGGGAAACUGAGGCACAGAGGGCCUAAGCAACUUGCCUAGGUCUCCUGGCAGAAAAUGCAGAGCUAGGAGCAAACAUCGGGAUUCAGAGCUGGCACCACUUCCUGCAGCUGCCUCGGGGCCCGAGUCCCACGCCUGCCACACUGACCAGGGCCCUGAGGAAAAACCCCCGGCGCUGGCCCUGGCCUCCUGCAGGCCCCGGCCAGGGCACUGGGUGAUGUGGGGCUCCCACCCCUAGCCCUCCCUGCACCGGCCCUGUGGUUGUGGACGGAUCCAAGCCCCCCACCUCCUGUCCGCCCCCUGCUUCCUGGGAGGCGACCAGAGACUAGCUGCCUAAACAAUUAAAAGUCCUGUUUCCCGGCAAUGGGGCCAUUUCAGGUUUCACCUUUCAGCCAAUCAAUGCCAGUCUGUGCUCGGUCGAUACCAAGCUCUCUGGUGCUCAGGAAGCAAGCAGGGAGGGCCCACUUGGGGGGCUCUGGGAGGGGGCGGUGGGGGUACUGAUGAGCCCUGGGAGCCACCGCGAGAGCCCCUCAGUCCUUGUCAGGAGUUGGCGUGUGGCCCUGCCCACUGGCCUCAGCCCCCAUGCUGCCGCCUCGGGACUAAAACCAGACCCGGGUCUCUGGCUUGUUGUGAAGAUGCUGUGCGGUGCUGAAUACGAGAUGCUCUGUAUACAGCAAGCGCUCAAUAGGUGUCUGCUGCACCCUUGGUGAGAGCCACCGCCUGCCCGCUUCGGCUUGCUUGUGGCUCAGAAGAGUGGUGGAGUCUGGGCGCCUGAGUGGCUC
rnacentral:lncRNA from 1 species